GAUGAACGCUGGCGGCGUGCUUAACACAUGCAAGUCGAACGAAGCACUUUAACCUGAUUCUUCGGAUGAAGGUUUUUGUGACUGAGUGGCGGACGGGUGAGUAACGCGUGGGUAACCUGCCUCAUACAGGGGGAUAACAGUUAGAAAUGACUGCUAAUACCGCAUAAGACCACAGAGCCGCAUGGCUCGGUGGGAAAGACUCCGGUGGUAUGAGAUGGACCCGCGUCUGAUUAGGUAGUUGGGGGGGUAACGGCAUACCAAGCCAACGAUCAGUAGCCGACCUGAGAGGGUGACCGGCCACAUUGGGACUGAGACACGGCCCAAACUCCUACGGGAGGCAGCAGUGGGGAAUAUUGCACAAUGGGGGAAACCCUGAUGCAGCGACGCCGCGUGAGCGAAGAAGUAUUUCGGUAUGUAAAGCUCUAUCAGCAGGGAAGAAAAUGACGGUACCUGACUAAGAAGCACCGGCUAAAUACGUG
rnacentral:rRNA from 1 species